rnacentral:rRNA from 1 species
GACGAACGCUGGCGGCGUGCUUAACACAUGCAAGUCGAACGGAAAGGCCUGCUUUCCCUUGUGGAUUGCGGGUACUCGAGUGGCGAACGGGUGAGUAACACGUGAGUGAUCUGCCCCCAACUUGGGUAUAAGCCUGGGAAACUGGGUCUAAUUCCCGAUAGGACUGCAGGGUGGUGCCUGUGGUGGAAAACGAUUUUCUAGUGGUUGGGGAUGAGCUCGCGGCCUAUCAGCUUGUUGGUGGGGUAAUUGCCUACCAAGGCGGCGACGGGUAGCCGGCCUGAGAGGGUGGACGGCCACAUUGGGACUGAGAUACGGCCCAGACUCCUACGGGAGGCAGCAGUGGGGAAUAUUGCACAAUGGGCGGAAGCCUGAUGCAGCGACGCCGCGUGGGGGAUGACGGCCUUCGGGUUGUAAACUCCUUUCGACCGCGAGGAAGCCACCUGGUUGGAAGGGUGGUGACGGUAGUGGUAGAAGAAGCACCGGCUAACUACGUG